AUGUCGUCUCCUCUCAAUACUCGCAACAUCAUUGCACAUCUUCAACAUCGCGACCUCCUCCACCAGUCAUCCUCGCAAUUCUCUCACUUUUCCAUCACCACUAAGCAACAGUUGAAAAAACAACAUCUUCCAACAACAUCACAGUAUCAGCCUUCCACUCUCCAACAGCAACAGUUGAAACAACAAUGGGCACGGGCACGGUGA